ACUCUGUCGGGAUGCUUGCAUAACAUACGACAGUAGGCACUGUAAAAUUGUAUCAAGAGACCUUAAAUCCACAUAAAUCGAAUCUUCCACGAACUUUCUAUUGUAUCAUAAACAUACUUUUACGGGGAACCAUGCAUUUCGUCAUGCUUUUAACAUUAUGCCUGUUUAUAUGGAACGUACAAGAAAGUCAGGAAUCACUAAUUACAGAAAAUGACUGGACGGAUGAGUGUAGAGAGAUACUUUUAAAUGAUUCUGCAGGACCAUCCAGCCUACGCUAUUUGGAAUGCAUGUAUUGGGCUUAUGGAUUUACAAAAACGGAGGCACAAGAAUUUGCUAAAGAGGAGAUGGAAGGAAGAGGAUAAAGGAAAGCUUCAAGCCAUAUAAAAGUAAACAUGGAUUUUAUUAUUACUGUCUUUGAUACAACAUCAAUAGACCUUAUCUGCUACACUUGAAACGUGAAUUUAUGACACUUGAUCUGUUGACGUCAUUUAGCAAUCUGUAUUCUUCUGUAGCGUAAUACUUCAUUUGUGAUGUUAAAUUGUGCGUCUCUGGUGUUUAUUAUACAGUCAUAGAGACAUGCUGAUUAAAUAAUUAUAAGACAUUGUGUUAGAUGAAUUCAAACAUGUUUGAAGCAACAAAAUGUAAUAAAAACUACUUCAUUUUGCAUAUCCAAACCCAGACAAAAUUACUUUUCCUCUUCUUUUUUUGUGUGCAUGAAACGUUAUAGUAUUAGCUGUAUCUCACUUGUUACGUUAAUAUAGCAUAUUCAAAGCGUUAUUGCAUUAAUAACUCUUCACCUUAUAUUUUUUUUGCAUUAUGCCAUGCUUCGCAUAAAAAGUUUAUGCAUAUACUAUAAUAUAAAUAUAUUCAAUAAAACUUUAAGGAGUGGUAUCUUUAAA